UGAGCAAUCUGCCCUUCUCUUCGGAAUAAGCGUUGGAAACGACGUCUAAUGCCGAAUACGACCUCCUUUCGCAUGAUCGGAGGUGGAAAGCUCCGGGCGGAGAAGGAUGAGCUCGCGGCCUAUCAGCUAGUUGGUGUGGGUAAUGGCCCACCAAGGCGACGACGGGUAGCCGGCCUGAGGAGGGUGACCGGCCACAGUUGGGACUGAGACACGGCCCAAACUCCGUACGGGAGCAGCGAGGG
rnacentral:rRNA from 1 species